AUUCCAAAUUUGUUUGUGUAAGCCUUUAUAACAGGAAGCACACAGAGAGUGGGGAUCAACAUCCGCCAUGAAUUUCUGACAUUGCAGACAUUUGCUCUGCGCCAUACUUGUCAAUCAAAAAGGGCGGGAAAACUUCAGACCCUAAAUACGCUGGAAAUAUAUCUAAUAUAAAUGCAAAACAGCAAUGCGAUUGAAUAUUAAAUGGAAUGCGAUUUGUAACUGACCUAUAUAUGAAGAAUUGAAGUCUUGAUUUGAUAUGAAAUUUCACUCGAUUCUCUGCACGUCAUGCGUGUGGACCA